rnacentral:rRNA from 1 species
GAUGAACGCUGGCGGCGUGCUUAACACAUGCAAGUCGAACGGAAAGGCUCCUGCUUGCUGGGGUACUCGAGUGGCGAACGGGUGAGUAACACGUGGGUGAUCUGCCCUUCACUUCGGGAUAACCCUAGGAAACUGGGUCUAAUACCGGAUAGGACCACCUUUUGCAUGGUGUGGUUUAAAGUUUUUCGGUGUUGGAUGAGCUCGCGGCGUAUCAGCUUGUUGGUGGGGUAAUGGCGUACAAAGACGUCGUCGGGUAGCCGGCCUGAGAGGGUGUACGGCCACAUUGGGAGUGAGAUACAGCGCAGAGUCCUACGGGAGGCAGCAGUGGGGAAUAUUGUACAAUGGGGGCAAGCGUGAUGCAGAGACGCCGCGUGGGGGAGGACGGCCUUCGGGGUGUAAACACCUUUCGCGAGGGACGAAGAGUGUUUGUGACGGUAACUGGAGAAGAAGCACCGGCUAACUACGUG